rnacentral:rRNA from 1 species
CCCUUAGAUGUUCUGGGCCGCACACGCGCUACACUGAAGGAGGCAGCGUGUACUCCUGGAUCGAAAGAUUUGGGUAACCCGCGAAUCUCCUUCGUGCUAGGGAUUGAGGUUUGCAAUUAUCCUUCAUGAACGAGGAAUUUCCAGUAAGUGCAAGUCAUAAGCUUGCGCUGACUACGUCCCUGCCCUUUGUACACACCGCCCGUCGCUACUACCGAUUGAAUGAUUUAGUGAGGACUUCGGACUGGGACCGAUGCGGCUUUCGGGCUGCGUCGGUAUUCUGGAAAGAUGUCCAAACUGUAUCAUUUAGAGGAAGUAAAAGUCGUAACA